AAUCAACGCUGGCGGCGUGCCUAACACAUGCAAGUCGAACGCGAAAGGGGGCUUCGGCUCCUAAGUAGAGUGGCGUCCGGGUGAGUAACACGUAGGUAAUCUGCCUUCGGGUGGGGAAUAACCAGUCGAAAGAUUGGCUAAUACCGCAUAAUGCAGCGGCACCUAAUGGUGAUUAGUUGUUAAAGCGGGGGAUCGUAAGACCUCGCGCCUGAAGAGGAGCCUGCGGCAGAUUAGCUAGUUGGUGAGGUAAUGGCUCACCAAGGCUUCGAUCUGUAGCUGGUCUGAGAG
rnacentral:rRNA from 1 species